rnacentral:rRNA from 2 species
AGCAGCCGCGGUAAUUCCAGCUCCAAUAGCGUAUAUUAAAGUUGUUGCAGUUAAAAAGCUCGUAGUUGAAUUUCGGGAUUGGCGCAUCGGUCGUGCCUCACGGGGUAUGAACUGGUGCAGUCAAUUUCUCACCUUCUGGAGAACCGCGAUGUCCUUAAUUGGAUGCCGUGGGGAACCAGGACCUUUACUUUGAAAAAAUUAGAGUGUUUAAAGCAGGCAUUUUUGCUUGAAUACAUUAGCAUGGAAUAAUAAAAUAGGACGGCAUGGUUCUAUUUUGUUGGUUUCUAGGACCACCGUAAUGAUUAAUAGGGAUAGUUGGGGGCAUUAGUAUUCAAUUGUCAGAGGUGAAAUUCUUGGAUUUAUUGAAGACUAACUACUGCGAAAGCAUUUGCCAAGGAUGUUUUCAUUAAUCAAGAACGAAAGUUAGGGGAUCGAAGACGAUCAGAUACCGUCGUAGUCUUAACCAUAAACUAUGCCGACUAGGAAUCAGACGAUGUUAAUUUUUUAAUGACUCGUUUGGCACCUUACG